rnacentral:rRNA from 1 species
GACAGAGGAGGCAAGCGUUGUUCGGAAUUAUUGGGCUUAAAGGGCGCGUAGGCGGCCGCGUAAGCGUCUUGUGAAAUCCCACGGCUCAACCGUGGAAUAGCAGGGCGAACUGCGUGGCUUGAGGUCGGUAGAGGUGUCUGGAACUCUAGGUGGAGCGGUGAAAUGCGUAGAUAUCUAGAGGAACGCCCGAGGCGAAAGCGGGACACCAGGCCGAUUCUGACGCUGAGGCGCGAAAGCGUGGGGAGCAAACAGG